ACCCUUUAAAACCAAAACCGUGUCGUAUGGAUUAAACGGAACGGUGUCGUUUUGGCCUCAAUAAUUGAAUUAGUUAGAAACGUUUCUUUAUUGUUAAUUUUGUGAAACACGACUUUGAUGCAUUCGUGUUCAUAUACCUCCAUGUACGAAGAUGAAAGGAUCGGUUUGUGUAAUUGGAUAUUUUCAGUGCAAUUGUUGAAAUCAUUUAACAGCUUCCUCUUUCCCAUUCUUCUUAUUUUCUCAUUUUCCCCUUCCCCUUUCUAUUUCUCUUAAUUUGGUUACAAUUUUAACUGGUUCAGCUGGUAAGAUUUCCAUUAUUUGAUCUGUGCAAGUGUGAAGUUGCGAGGUAGGGUUCAGCUUGUGACAAUUCCUUACCUAAAGUCAUGUAAGUUAGGUAAGUUGCUUCACAUUAGUUUUCUGACUGAAAUUCCCAAGAAACUACAUAGUAUUCCAUCCAUUUAACUAGCUAGAUAAGAUGAGGUAAGGUUUUUCUAUAUGUGAGCCUGUGAGAUUAUUAUAAUAUACAUUUCUUUGGUUAUAUUUUCAAUUGAGUGUAAUUUAAUAAAAUAAAAUAAAUCUUAAGAUGGUUUUAACCACUACAAAUGAUAGUGAAAUUUGGGCAAUUUAGUAUUGUUUGAGUAGGAUCAACCUGGGACAAUGGCAGGUGGAUCUCAACAAGCUAUAUAUUAGCUUCAUCAAGCAUCUCUAUGUGUUGUUUUGAUUGUUUGCCUUUUAUCACUAGUUCUUUUCUAUUUUGGAAAUGUAAUUAUUUGAUCUGAAGAGUUCUUGUCUGGUGUCUCGCACACAAGAACUGGACUUGAUGAAUCUUUAAGCAACAGCCUUUUUCAAAAGCUGUAAUUGUAAGAUGGAUAGUCGAUAUGAAAUGUAGGUGCUUUUGUUUAUUUCUAGUGGAGAGAAUUUUAUGUGGGUUCAAGUGUUGACAAAAGAAACUGUACAUUUUCAGUGUUAUAUAUGUAGUUUUGAAGCACAAAAAAUCUUUGGUGUACUUAGCUUGACUGCAUGUGAUUGUUGUUUGCUUCGAAUGAGCUCCUAGAAAUCAAUGGUGCAUUUGUUUGCACUUUAUUUAUUUAUUUUUUGUAUCCCAUAAAUUGGCUGUUUUUGUUUGAUCCAUGCACCUUUUCUUUCGUCGGAUUUCACAGGGUGCAACUUCUCUGAAUGGUGCUUUCUUAGUUGAUUUGGUAAAACAAUAUUCUAGGUAGUUGAAAAUGAGUUUGAUUGGACGACUAAGGCACCAUUUACCCUACGGAUACUUUAGAAAACCCAUUGGAGCUCCUGUGACUACCUUGUUUGAUCAACUUAUUUGGGGUGAUUAGGAACUUUGCUCAACCUGCAUUAAAAGAGGAAGAAGGGGAGGAGGAAGUAGAGAUAGACCAAAGAAGACUUCCUGCUGAUUAUAAUCCCGAAACUUUUGAUCCCACAGAGCAUCGCACUCCCCCAACGGAUAGAGUAUGGAGACUUGUUGAUGAAAUAUCUGGACUCACACUGGUUGAAACUGCAGAGCUCUCUUCCAUUAUGAUGAAGAAGUUGGGGAUGAGAGAGCUGCCAGUUGUCGGGGUCAUGAAGCCAGGUGCUGCUGGAGUGGCUUCGGUGGGAAUGAAGGCAUCAUCGACAGCCAAAGAAGAAAAGAAACCGGAAAAGACAGCUUUUGAGUUGAAGAUGGAGUCUUUCGACUCAGCUUCAAAACUCAAGGUAAUUAAGGAGAUUCGGAGUUUUACGGAUUUAGGACUAAAGGAAGCGAAGGACUUAGUGGAGAAGGUGCUUGCCGUGCUUAAGAAAGGGGUGCCAAAAGAAGAAGCAGAAAAAAUUAUUGAGAAGAUGAAAGCAGUUGGGGCUGUUGUCGUUAUGGAAUGACGUGAAAAUAAGUACCGUGAUAAUUUCAUCGUUAACGUCUUUUAAAUCUAGUAAAUUUUUUCUCAAGGAAAAGCAGCGUUCUUGUACUUCUAAUUUCAUAUCUAGAUCUAGACACAGAGAUCUCAAAACAGUUUGCCUUGGAAGUACAGCAACUUUAACCCACAUUGGUAAUGGCAUCGAGCUUCAGCAACAUUUACACAGCCUAGCAC